UUAGGAUUAAUCUUGACAUGUGUUGUACACAUGCAAGUGUGCAUGUCACGUUAGUAUUAGGUUGUGGCCGAGUGAUUUGGCCAAGUUAGUUAGACCGUUAGAGGAGGAACAUGUGCAUUGUGAGGAUGUGCAUGGAAAGGUCAAAGAGAAGUAGUCAGCAUGCACGUAGCUUAGUUUGUUAGGCUGGUCAUAGUGGAGAGUAUCAUAUAGUAGUACCAUGCAUAUGAUACUAUUGUAUGAUACUACCUUCAUAGUGUAUAGUAUCAUAAAUUAGUAUCAUAUAUAUAACCUCAUUUAUUAACACGCAUGACACAUAGUAGCAUAGCAUUUAACAUGUUACAGUAUCUAUCUAUAUUACUCUAACUCUCUCUCUCAUCUUUAAUUGUGUGCCACAUCAGCAUAUUUGCUAAUUUCAAGAACAUGAUACUACCUAAGUUACUCCCACUAUGACCAGCCUUAGAUGCACAACCAUGGAGUGAUUUCAGAAGUUGUUAGCUGGACGUGUAGUUAGUUGGGUUACUGGAGUAAUGGGUCAAAGGAGUGGCAUUAGUGCAUGGGGUGGUGGCCGUGUGACGUGGUUGUGAUGUAGUAUGUGAGUCCCUUGUACUAGCUAUAUAAGUCCAUCAGAUGAAUGAGAAUAGGGAAGCCAGUGAGGGCUGGGAGAAACAAUGUAGCAUUUGUGUCAUCAAGGAGGAGAGCUCUUGGCAAAGGCUGGUGCUGGUUUCUUCCUUGGGCGAGUGUGUGUGUAUGUGUUCAUAAGUGUUCUUGUGUGUGUGUUUGAGAGAAAUAACCAGAGUGAGAAGAAAGUAACCUCAGGAGAGUUGUGCAAGGCAGCUCGAGGUAUAAGAAGAAGCGGCGCUGCGAGGAGGUGGCGCCAACAAUUGGUAUCAGAGCCUUGUCGAUUCGAGACGGUGGCAGCGCGACAGACUCCAUGUAAGGUGGAGGACGGCGGCGCAAGGUGGAGGCCGUCGGCGGCGUGAUGCCGCUGGUAGUCGGUUGCGGUGUGAUGCCGCAAGAUGAUGAUGGCAUGGUGACCGGCGUCGCAAAGGCGUCGUCCAUGUCAAGAGAUGGCCUCCGCAUGCGGCAGGAGGUCGAGGUACUCGGCGAUGCGACGACGUCGUCCACGAGAAGGAGGUGUUUGGCGGUGUGAUGCCGUGCGGACAUGUGGAUGCGGUGCGAUGCCGCACGAACAUGUAGCUGCGGUGCGAUGCUGUAAGAGGAGGUGGCGGUGCGAAGCUGCCACAUGAAGACAAUGAUGUGACAUCGAUGCGAGGUAAAGCGGUGCGAAUCCGAAGCCAUCAAGAGGAUCGAUGUGAAGCUAGCCCAUGGUAGUGUGCUGGGUGGUGUGACGCCAUCCCCAAGAUGAUUCGCUACGACGACGGCAAGAUGAACGUGACCAGUGGUGUGAUGCCAGUGAAGGACGUGCAAGUGGAGAUCGAUGGUGCGGCAUGGUGAAACGACAUCAUGACGCAAGGUGGUGUGGUCUUGGCACUGCGAACAUGUCACCCAUGACUUGAUGAAGCUGCUACACGGGUGCGGCAAGAAGGUAUAGAUGACUCCAUGAGUCCAUAUCAAGAUUAGGGAGGAAAUUGUUAGGAUUAAUCUUGACAUGUGUUGUACACAUGCAAGUGUGCAUGUCACGUUAGCAUUAGCUAGGUUGUCAGGAUUUGUUAAGUGGCCGAGUGAUUUGGCCAAGUUAGUUAGACCGUUAGAGGAGGAACAUGUGCAUUGUGAGGAUGUGCAUGGAUAGGUCCAAGAGAAGUAGUCAGCAUGCAUGUAGCUUAGUUUGUUAAAUGCACAACCGUGGAGUGAUUUCAGGAGUUGUUAG
rnacentral:lncRNA from 1 species